rnacentral:rRNA from 1 species
GUGGGGAAUCUUGCGCAAUGGGCGAAAGCCUGACGCAGCCAUGCCGCGUGAAUGAUGAAGGUCUUAGGAUUGUAAAAUUCUUUCACCGGGGACGAUAAUGACGGUACCCGGAGAAGAAGCUCCGGCUAACUUCGUGCCAGCAGCCGCGGUAAUACGAAGGGGGCUAGCGUUGCUCGGAUUUACUGGGCGGAAAGGGCGCGUAGGCGGACAUUUAAGUCAGGGGUGAAAUCCCGGGGCUCAACCUCGGAACUGCCUUUGAUAGUGGGUGUCUUGAGUAUGAGAGAAGUGUGUGGAAAUCCGAGUGUAGAGGUGAAAUUCGUAGAUAUUCGGAAGAACACCAGUGGCGAAGGCGACACACUGGCUCAUUACUGACGCUGAGGCGCGAAAGCGUGGGGAGCAAACAGGAUUAGAUACCCGAGUAGUCC